AUGAACGCUGGCGGCGUGCCUAAUCCCUGCAAGUCGAGCGAACGGACGAGAAGCUUGCUUUUCUGAUGUUAGCGGCGGACGGGUGAGUAACACGUGGAUAACCUACCUAUAAGACUGGGAUAACUUCGGGAAACCGGAGCUAAUACCGGAUAAUAUUUUGAACCGCAUGGUUCAAAAGUGAAAGACGGUCUUGCUGUCACUUAUAGAUGGAUCCGCGCUGCAUUAGCUAGUUGGUAAGGUAACGGCUUACCAAGGCAACGAUGCAUAGCCGACCUGAGAGGGUGAUCGGCCACACUGGAACUGAGACACGGUCCAGACUCCUACGGGAGGCAGCAGUAGGGAAUCUUCCACAAUGGGCGAAAGCCUGACGGAGCAACGCCGCGUGAGUGAUGAAGGUCUUCGGAUCGUAAAACUCUGUUAUUAGGGAAGAACAUAUGUGUAAGUAACUGUGCACAUCUUGACGGUACCUAAUCAGAAAGCCACGGCUAGCUACGUG
rnacentral:rRNA from 1 species